AUUUUUGAAGGAUCCACAAUCUAUCAAAUAGUUAUCUACAAGGUUGAAUCCUAGUGAAACAUAAAGCCAUUGGACCUAGAAUUUCUAUAUAUAAAGGAAACGACAGCCAAACUCAGCAACCCAACAGAAGAAUCCAAGAAAAUCAAACACAACAGAAGAACAAUGAAAUGCAAAAAAAAAAAAAAAAAAAACCCAGCAGAAGAAUCAAACACAGCAACCAAACAGAAAACCAAGAAAAUCAAAUGUGAAACAAGAAAGUUAACCUGAAAAUGGAGA
rnacentral:lncRNA from 1 species